UACGUAGGGACCAAGCGUUGUUCGGAUUUACUGGGCGUAAAGGGCGCGUAGGCGGCCAUUCAAGUCAGCUGUGAAAUCUCCGGGCUUAACUCGGAACGGUCAGCUGAUACUGCUUUGCUAGAGUGCAGAAGGGGCAAUCGGAAUUCUUGGUGUAGCGGUGAAAUGCGUAGAUAUCAAGAGGAACACCUGAGGUGAAGACGGGUUGCUGGGCUGACACUGACGCUGAGGCGCGAAAGCUAGGGUAGCAAACGGG
rnacentral:rRNA from 1 species